CCUACGGGAGGCAGCAGUGGGGAAUAUUGCACAAUGGGGGAAACCCUGAUGCAGCGACGCCGCGUGAGUGAUGACGUCUUUCGGUAUGUAAAGCUCUAUCAGCAGGGAAGAAAAUGACGGUACCUGCUUAAUAAUCCCCGUCUUACUACGUUCCAGCAGCCGCGGUAAGACUUAGGGGGCCAGCGUUAUCCGGAUUUACUGGGUGUUAAGGGAGCGUAGACGGCAGCACAAGUCAUGUGUGAAAUGUCGGGGCUUAACCCCGGAACUGAUGUGGAAAAUGUUAAGCUAGAGUGCAGGAGAGGUAAGUGGAAUUCGUAGUGUAGCGGUGAAAUGCGUAGAUAUUAGGAAGAAUACCAGUGGCGAAGGCGGCUUACUGAACUGUAACUGACGUUGAGGCUCGAAAGCGUGGGGAGCAAACAGGAUUAGAUACCCUUGUAGUC
rnacentral:rRNA from 1 species